UGGGUAGAACUAUAAUAAAAUUUUAUGUUAUGAAUAGUGUCUACUACAAUGCUGGUUCUCAAUAAAUAUCUGAAGCCAACUGCUCAUUCAAUCAAUGGACAUUUAUGAAAGACCUUGUAUGUGCCAGACUCAAAGCUAGGCACCAAGGACCCAGAGCUGAUGAAAACUUGGUGUCUGCCUUUGAAAAGUCCACAAUUUGCUGUCUAGUUUGAGGUUAGUUUAUCAGCUUUUGCUUUUUAAGCUACAAAGUGAAAUGCAUCAACGUGGAUAGUGAUGUGACUUCUUCACAGGAUUAUUCCAGUUCGGAAUGCAAAGGGUACUGAAGAGUGAGGUCUCAUGGAAAGAGAAAAAUGGAAACCCAAAUAAACAGCAUAAAAUUGACAGGAGCUCCAUGUGUUCUCCAUAUUUUCUGCUUAAUAGAUCAAUUAUAGCAAUAAAACAUGUGCACUAUAAAAAUAUGCACAGAGAAUUCGGCCAGCCUGCAAGGGAAUGUUGACAAGGUAACUAAGCAACACUGGCAAGGAAAGUUCUUAUUUUUCUUUUCCUCUUGAUGUCUUCUGCCUUAUUAGUUGAAAAUUCAAAGUGUCCUUGCCAGGAUGAGGAAGAAAUGAAGCAAUUCUCCCAUUCACUCUGGAGAGAUCCAUCUUUCUAGGUGUGACCACCUCUAAAGAGAUGUUGGUAGUACAGAAGGGUGGGCAGGACAGAGAGGAGAGAAAUCAAAGCUGGUAUUAGUUCGGGGAAAGAAGUUCACUAUCUCAUCUACAGGAUGGAGGACUCCUGGCAGGACCAGCCGGCAGGGCGAUUCACCAUAGGAAGACAGGCCAGAAAUGAGGACAGACUCCAAAGCCAAAGUAGUAGGCAUGACAGUAAAUACUGCGAUCCCUCAGAGAUUGUUACCAGAAAAUACCUAAAGGCAAUGUCUGGAAGACACAGGGACACAGACACAUGGAGGAUGUUAUAUAACUAUGCCGGCAGAGACUGGAGCAAUGCAUCGGCAAGACAACGAACAUAAAGAAUUACCAGCAAUCACCAGAAGCUGGAAGAUGUAAGAAAAGAUUCUUCCCUAGAAGCUCUGCAGGGAAAAUGGCCAUGAUGACAUUUUUGAUUUUAGACUUCUAGACUCCCGAACUGUGAGAGAAUAAAUCUGUUAUUUUAAACCAUGCUAUUUGGGAAAUUUUGUUAUGGUAGUCUUGGGAAACAAAUACAUUUCUCAGCUUCUGUAGCCCCAAAUGGUAGAAGUGAAAUUAACCAAACCAACUUCCAAUCCAGCUGACAUCUCCCAAAGUCUCGCAGACACAUACCGGGCCACAGGAUGUAUUUCAUGGAAGGCAUAUGCUAGAAGAGCAUAAAGACUUUGACCUUAGGCUUAAAUGAGUUAAUUUCCCUCUCAAACCUUCAAAUAGCUCAUCUGUACAAUGGGAUUAGGUCUAGAUCAAUGAUGGCAAAUACAUUAUAAUUGGGAAUGGCUGCCUGAGAGCACUGUGUUGAGAAGGAUUGUAAGGAGUCAUCUGGGCAAAGAGGCAGAGACACUUUAACAGUCAAAAUACUUCAUCUUCAUGCUCCCCAUGCCUCUGUGACCAUCCUUGUCAGUUUCCUCUUCCAGUGCCCACUCUUUAAACAGAGGUGAUUCUUAGGAUUCAGAUAAUGGCUCAUAUUUCUUUUCCCACCUUAACAUGUUCUCUUUAGACAAACCAACUAAUUCUUAAGGUCUUAAAUGAUCACUUAUAGCUUCUGCUCAUACUUUUAAAUCUCUCUCUCCAGCCUGGAUCAGUCUCCUAUCCUCAUUUAGUCCCACACAUCCAAAUGCUAGAUGGACAUGUCCAUGUAGCUAUCUCACGGACAACUCAAAGCAACUCAUUUAUAAUAAAACUCACCAGUUGCUCCCCUAAGCUUGCUCUUCCUCUCAUAUACUAUCUCUUAGUCAGCAGUACAACCAUAUACCUAGUAAGAAAACUGGGCUCUUUCCUGGACUAUUUCCUCUUUCUUACCCCUUGAUUCCCAAUCAAUCAUCAAGACAACCCAAUCUUACCUCCUAGAUAAUCCCCUUCUGUAUUUACUAUCACUGUCCUAAUUCAACGUUCCAUCAGUUCUUGCCUUUCAAGAUUCCCCUCAGGUAGCACUGCCUCAAGAUACCUCUGCAUCUGUGUUUUCUGCCCUUGAAUCUCUGGAAUCUGGCAUUGUGUCUAACAUGUAGGCAACAGAUGAUGAUGACGACAAUGACAAUGAUGACGACAAUGAUGAUAAGGAUCAUUUGUUUACCACUUGCUAUGUACAAGGCACCAUUCUCAGCAAUUUUUAUAUCCACAGCCACCUUCUAUGGUAGGUUCUCAUCCCUAUUUAGAGACAAAGUACAGAAAGUUUAAGUGACUUUCUCAGAGUUACACAGUUCUACCAAGAGGAUGCUAAACAGAUCUGAAAUUCAAUUUAAAUUAAAAUACACUCAUAAGGGGAAAUAGUGAAACACAUACCUAUUUGUUCAAUAAAUUUUUAUUGAACACACACUAUGUGGUGAGCACUGGAGGCACAAAUAAAUGAAUACAUAAACACAUUAACUACAGACAUGGGGAAAAUCUCUCAGGAAAUUCAUUCAUUUCUCUAGACCAGAACUGACCCAGGAUUCUGGGAAACGAGUUAUUAUCCAUAGAAUUCUAGGUAACUUUGAGAAAUAUUGGGGGUGGCAGACUGAACUCAGGGUUUCCUCCUCUAGUAUCGCCUUCCCCACAGAGCUGAGAAGCCCUUGUGAAGUACCAGAAAAAGCUUCAGUUAUGGCCUCCAUUCCUGGCCUCACAGCAGUGCCAGCCUCCAGCCUCCUCAAUCCCCUCUUCUUUGACUGCAAGAGGGCUGCUCCUCUCAGUCGAGGCAGAGAGAAGCAAGUUCUCUGCAAGCUGGUAAAGGCUUAUUACUUUGACAGCGUUGGGUCAGAGGACCUAUGUCAAUCUGACUUUGCCAAGUAGCACUGUGACCUUGGGCAAGUCACUUCACCCGUCUGACCCCAGAAGCCUAUCUCUAAGUGUCCUUCCAACCCUACAUUCUAUGAUUUAGAGUAUACACUUCAGAGCCUACUAAGAGCAGGGAUCUUGGCAAUAAGAGACCCUUCCCCUAUCCCCCUUGGCUACAACAGAUUAUUCCUGGACACUACCUGCAAAACCAAGCAUUGCUCAGACACUAAAGAAAACCUAAAAUUUGGGGUAUGUGAUUAUUCUGUCAGUCUAAGAAAAGUCCACUUAAGUUUUCCCAUAAUAAUGCCUUUCUUUGUUAUUCAUAAAUGUCAGGAAACCUAUGACCACAUGCAACCUGACAGCAAGUAAAAGAAGACCUUGUCCUCAUCUCUGCAAUGGCAACUGCUUUUUAAAAUAUCUAUCCAAGACAAGAGGACCUCUCUGUCCAUCACAUUACUCCACUCUUGCCGUUUCUUCCCAGACUGCAGGCACUCUUGGAUGUGGUCUGGGAAGAAAUCCACAUUUACCCAGUGAGUAAAGGGGAGGAUUAUUCUGGAAGGUGACAACUCUCAUCUGAAAUGUUUACUACCAUCUUGGAAGUGAAAGCCCCAUUAGGGUUUGAAUGGACCAAGCAAAACAAGGAUACAGGUGGAAACUGUUCUGGUAAUCCCAAAACUGAGGGUAGGUUUUACUGAUGGUGAAUACUUAUUUACUUACACAUUUAUUUCACAUGGUAAAUUUCUUUUUAUCAGGGAUCAUUUUGUAAGGGCUAAAAUUGUUUCUGUGCAGAAGUUACUACAUGCAUCAUCUACAGCUGGACUAUAAAAGAGAUCCAAGGAUAAGUCUGUCCAAAGAGCCUCUUUAAGGGUGAUAUGAUAAAAACAAAAACAAAAACAAAAACAAACAAAAAGAAAACAAACAAACAAAAAAAGCUAUGGGGAGCAUCUAAUACAAAGAAGGGGCAAUACUGGAGGAAAGAGGGGGAAGGAAUGAUCUUGAGCCUCUCAGCAGUUUUGUUUACAUGGCAAAUGAGCAAAUCAUAAGAAAUCACAAGGCAGUAUUUUGUUCAACAAACAUUUAGUGUCUUUAUGCAAGAGAUGCCAUGAAUACAAGACUGAAUAACUGCCUGGAGGCUUAGAUAUGUGAGUCACCCAAACGACUUAAAACUAUGUGAUCCCACUAGACUAGAGGUAUGGCUGUGCUCAUGACCUAACCAGCCACGGGGAAUCCCAGAAAAAGAAGUGGAGGUUUGAGUCGCUACCCACCAUUCUGUGGACUUCUCAAUUUUCCCAACACCCGACAUUGUCCUCCCAAAUCCCUAACUGAACCACCAAAUGAUUUCCCUGUCAUUGAGACAUGGCUUCAUUCUUUUACUCAUCCAACAAAUAAUUACUGAGUACCUACUUUGAGCCCGGCACUGUGAAAGGCACCAGGAUCUGUUUGAUCCAGGUCUAGUGACCCAUUUAUCCCAGGCCUCAUAUUCAUGAAGGGUUUAUAAAGUACAUUUGUUAGAUUAUACAAGUGAUAUCAAAUAUAUAGUGACAGAUGCACUUACAGGAUUAAACUUCAAAGCACAUUAUAAUUUUUAUAAUCUUGUUUUGGCAAUUUUCAAAAAUAUAUACAAGUCUCCCCAUGGUGACAUAUCAUCCACGGAAGUUAUCCAGGUCUCUCUCAGUCACCAUGGGUCCCACUGGACAUUCAAGAGAGGACUGCCAACAAGCUAGCUGUUACACUGUGCUCACAGAACUUGGUGCUUAGUGGGGAAACAGUUAUCAAAUAAGAACACACAUCCAAUGAAUAACGAGUUAUCCAGGGGAGGAGAGUGGCAUGGCGUGAGGCUGCACUGGCAAGCAGAGUUUUCACUUUUAGCUGAAGCAUUUGAAUUUUUACUAUAAAGACAUAUAUAAAGACACAUGCCAUGUGCUACUUGUAGAGUCAUUAUAAAUUUCUACAUCAGGCACAUCAUGAAAAGAACAGCCAAGAAGGGGACUACAAGACCAUGAGAGAGGUUGACCCCAAUGUGGGAGGCACUGAGAAUGAGCAAAACGCCAAGUUGGAGCUUCAGACUUGGUCUGGAGCUCAAACAGCUGCACACAACUUUGUGGUGACCAUGGGGGAGGUGCUGCCAGGCAUGGGUGCAAGGCUCCCCAUCUCAGAGCUCUCUCCUGGGCUCAAGCACCUUCUGACCCCACAAAUGGAACGAGCUUUCAGCUAUUGUGUAACAUGGAUGAUUGAUAUGUUACUCUCACCUUGGUUUGAAACUUGCCUUCUCAUGGAGAGCAAUAAAUCUUACCAGAAAAUACUAAAUGCCCCUGAGCUGAAUCACAGCAAUCCUGUCUAGACUGAAAUGUCUCAUCUUCAUUUGUCAAGCAAAUUGUGUCUUGACCAUUAUUGUGCACCUGGUAAGCCCCAUUGGCUUUAUACAGUUCCAUCAGCAACAGGGCAGCCCCUGCUAAACAGCUUUCUCUCUGAGGAAAGCCUGGCCACAUACAAAUGAUCUCAAGGCAUGCUAGAGAAAUAAGAGCAAAUAUCAUGGAAACAUCAUUAGGUAUAUCAACACACUGCUGAUGGUAGAUGGAACAGUCCAAUUCUGUACCAGACAAAUUUGGGGAAAAAUGUUUCCAUACACUGUUCUUUUUUAUUUUCCUGAUGAUAUUUUGAGAUAUACUCACAUGGCAUGGCUCUUAUAAAACAGACGCAAGACCAAUGACUGAUCAUCCAAUAAUGCUUCUGAUCAGAGCAAUUGUGUGUGUGUGUGUGUGUGUGUGUGUGUGUGUGCGCAUGAAUGCACACAUGCAAUACUUUCUUAGUGUGGCAGGUGCCUCUUUGGAGCAUGCAGUUUUUAGGGCUGUGUAUACAAGUAAAGUCAGCACAGAGUAAUGCAACUGAAUGUACCUCUGCACGAGGUAGACAGCUAGCUGAGGAAAAGUUUCCUAGAAUGGGUUUCAUGUCUUAGUUCUACUCUAAGACCUCACUGGGAAUCUGUAUGGUAGAGAGGGUUACUAGGUAAAAUAUGGGGCACCUAGUUAAAUGUGAAUUUGGGGUAAACAAUGAGUGAUUGUUUUUUAGUAUAGGUACUUUCCAAAUAUUGCACGGGUGUUAUUUUUAUUUGCAAAAUCAGGCGACCCUGACAGCUGAAGAGGGGAAGACAUGCAUGUCAAUCACCUUUGUCAUGAAUAUUGUCACCAUCAGCAUCAGUUAACAUUUACAGCACAUGGGGAUGAGGUCCAUGCUAUAGGGAAGACCUAUGAAUUACUCCUGCUGCCUAAAAGACUCAGAAUGUACCUACUUCUUCAAUUGUGGCCUCCUUGAGAUCAUGGGCUAUACCUUAGUGCUCCAUCUUUAAGACCGGGCCUGGUGACUGGCAUGUGGUACUAGCUAACAACAGAGUUUUGAAUAAAUGAGGAUAUGGUAUGGAAUGGUUAUAAAAGGAAGAAAUACGGGGUGAGCAGGAUAAAAUGACAAAACUGUACGUGGCAGAAAAUACAGGGAACCUCCAAAUCUGCAGCCACCUCCAUCACCUAUGAGAAGAACCUCUUAGCAGAGCAAUUCAAUUGAACAGUCUCUUAGCUUGGUCAGUAAGACUGAACUGUCUCGAGUAAGUGCAAAAUAGUCUAGGCAUUCCGAGUGGGUAGGGGAGGGGGAGUAUGCAAAGCUGGGAAAUCAACACUUAUACAAUUAUCCACUUUAAAACAUUUUUUUAAAUGUUUAUUUUUGACAGAAAGAGCAUAAGCUGGAGAAGGGGAGAGGGAGAGGGAGAUACAGAAU